GGAUUGUGGCUCAGUGGUGAAGCGCUUGCCUUGCAUGAAGGAGGUACUGGGUUCGAUUCUUGGCACCA
rnacentral:tRNA from 1 species